AAAAACUUAACUUUGACCACUGAACCAUGAAAAUGAGGUCAAGGUCAGAUGACAUCUGCCCGCUAGACAUGUACACCUUACAAUCAUUCCAUACAACAGAUAUAGUAGACCUAUUGCAUAAAGUAUGAGAAAAACAGACCAAAACACAAAAACUUAACUAUAACCACUGAACCAUGAAAAUGAGGUCAAGGUCAGAUGACACCUGCCAGUUGGACAUGUACACCUUCCAUACACCAAAUAUACUAGCCC
rnacentral:lncRNA from 1 species